rnacentral:lncRNA from 1 species
CUCGAUCAACCACCAACGUCGUUCUCGGUCAACUACACCAACAUUUCAGCGGCGUCGAGGUAACUCCAGUCCGACGCGUCGAGGUAACUCCAGUACUCCGGCAAGUCGAGGUAACUCCAGUCGGACUUCUAUUUGUCAUUUCCUCCAUUCUCUUUCCCCCAAUCUCGUUCUCAACCACUAACAUUUCUCCAUUCUCUUCCCCCAAUCUCGUUCUCAAACAUUUUUCUUUUUCUAUUUGUUUUUUCCCACUCGCC